rnacentral:rRNA from 1 species
GAAACCGUAGCUAAUACCGCAUAAUCUCUACNGAGGAAAGCAGGGGACCUUCGGGCCUUGCGCUGAUAGAUGAGUCCGCGUCUGAUUAGCUAGUUGGUGGGGUAAAGGCCUACCAAGGCGAUGAUCAGUAACUGGUUUGAGAGGAUGAUCAGUCACACUGGAACUGAGACACGGUCCAGACUCCUACGGGAGGCAGCAGUGGGGAAUAUUGCACAAUGGGGGAAACCCUGAUGCAGCGACGCCGCGUGCGGGAAGAAGGCCUUCGGGUUGUAAACCGCUUUCAAUUGGGAAGAAGAGAUGAGUACUAAUAAUGCUCUGAUUUGACGGUACCUUUAGAAGAAGCACCGGCUAAUUUCGUGCCAGCAGCCGCGGUAAUACGAAAGGUGCAAGCGUUGUUCGGAUUUACUGGGCGUAAAGAGAUCGUANGUGGUUUGUUAAGUCGGAUGUGAAAUCCCCGGGGCUCAACCCCGGAACUGCAUUCGAUACUGGCAGGCUA